UUAAGCGACUAAGCGUACACGGUGGAUGCCCUGGCAGUCAGAGGCGAUGAAGGGCGUGCUAAUCUGCGAUAAGCGCCGGUAAGGUGAUAUGAACCGUUAUAACCGGCGAUACCCGAAUGGGGAAACCCAGUGUGACUCGUCACACUAUCAUUAACUGAAUCCAUAGGUUAAUGAGGCGAACCGGGGGAACUGAAACAUCUAAGUACCCCGAGGAAAAGAAAUCAACCGAGAUUCCCCCAGUAGCGGCGAGCGAACGGGGAGGAGCCCAGAGCCUGAAUCAGCAUGUGUGUUAGUGGAAGCGUCUGGAAAGGCGCGCGAUACAGGGUGACAGCCCCGUACACAAAAGCGCAUGUGCUGUGAGCUCGAUGAGUAGGGCGGGACACGUGGUAUCCUGUCUGAAUAUGGGGGGACCAUCCUCCAAGGCUAAAUACUCCUGACUGACCGAUAGUGAACCAGUACCGUGAGGGAAAGGCGAAAAGAACCCCGGCGAGGGGAGUGAAAAAGAACCUGAAACCGUGUACGUACAAGCAGUGGGAGCACCCUUCGGGGUGUGACUGCGUACCUUUUGUAUAAUGGGUCAGCGACUUAUAUUCUGUAGCAAGGUUAACCGAAUAGGGGAGCCGGAGGGAAACCGAGUCUUAAUUGGGCGUUAAGUUGCAGGGUAUAGACCCGAAACCCGGUGAUCUAGCCAUGGGCAGGUUGAAGGUUGGGUAACACUAACUGGAGGACCGAACCGACUAAUGUUGAAAAAUUAGCGGAUGACCUGUGGCUGGGGGUGAAAGGCCAAUCAAACCGGGAGAUAGCUGGUUCUCCCCGAAAGCUAUUUAGGUAGCGCCUCGUGAAUUCAUCUCCGGGGGUAGAGCACUGUUUCGGCUAGGGGGCCAUCCCGGCUUACCAACCCGAUGCAAACUGCGAAUACCGGAGAAUGUUAUCACGGGAGACACACGGCGGGUGCUAACGUCCGUCGUGAAGAGGGAAACAACCCAGACCGCCAGCUAAGGUCCCAAAGUCAUGGUUAAGUGGGAAACGAUGUGGGAAGGCCCAGACAGCCAGGAUGUUGGCUUAGAAGCAGCCAUCAUUUAAAGAAAGCGUAAUAGCUCACUGGUCGAGUCGGCCUGCGCGGAAGAUGUAACGGGGCUAAACCAUGCACCGAAGCUGCGGCAGCGAACGUAUCACUUAAAGCGAUUCAGCGGGUUACGAUUGACGGAGCGAAGCGACGUCAAAGCGUAUACAAAGUCGAGUCGGUUUAAGGAUACGUUCGUUGGGUAGGGGAGCGUUCUGUAAGCCUGUGAAGGUGGCCUGUGAGGGUUGCUGGAGGUAUCAGAAGUGCGAAUGCUGACAUAAGUAACGAUAAAGCGGGUGAAAAGCCCGCUCGCCGGAAGACCAAGGGUUCCUGUCCAACGUUAAUCGGGGCAGGGUGAGUCGACCCCUAAGGCGAGGCCGAAAGGCGUAGUCGAUGGGAAACGGGUUAAUAUUCCCGUACUUGGUGUUACUGCGAAGGGGGGACGGAGAAGGCUAUGUUGGCCGGGCGACGGUUGUCCCGGUUUAAGCGUGUAGGUGUGUGUUCCAGGUAAAUCCGGUUCACUUUAACACUGAGGCGUGACGACGAGGCACUACGGUGCUGAAGCAACAAAUGCCCUGCUUCCAGGAAAAGCCUCUAAGCAUCAGGUAACAUCAAAUCGUACCCCAAACCGACACAGGUGGUCAGGUAGAGAAUACCAAGGCGCUUGAGAGAACUCGGGUGAAGGAACUAGGCAAAAUGGUGCCGUAACUUCGGGAGAAGGCACGCUGACACGUAGGUGAAGUGAUUUACUCAUGGAGCUGAAGUCAGUCGAAGAUACCAGCUGGCUGCAACUGUUUAUUAAAAACACAGCACUGUGCAAACACGAAAGUGGACGUAUACGGUGUGACGCCUGCCCGGUGCCGGAAGGUUAAUUGAUGGGGUCAGCGCAAGCGAAGCUCCUGAUCGAAGCCCCGGUAAACGGCGGCCGUAACUAUAACGGUCCUAAGGUAGCGAAAUUCCUUGUCGGGUAAGUUCCGACCUGCACGAAUGGCGUAAUGAUGGCCAGGCUGUCUCCACCCGAGACUCAGUGAAAUUGAACUCGCUGUGAAGAUGCAGUGUACCCGCGGCAAGACGGAAAGACCCCGUGAACCUUUACUAUAGCUUGACACUGAACAUUGAGCCUUGAUGUGUAGGAUAGGUGGGAGGCUUUGAAGCGUGGACGCCAGUCUGCGUGGAGCCGACCUUGAAAUACCACCCUUUAAUGUUUGAUGUUCUAACGUGGACCCGUUACCCGGGUUGCGGACAGUGUCUGGUGGGUAGUUUGACUGGGGCGGUCUCCUCCUAAAGAGUAACGGAGGAGCACGAAGGUUGGCUAAUCCUGGUCGGACAUCAGGAGGUUAGUGCAAUGGCAUAAGCCAGCUUGACUGCGAGCGUGACGGCGCGAGCAGGUGCGAAAGCAGGUCAUAGUGAUCCGGUGGUUCUGAAUGGAAGGGCCAUCGCUCAACGGAUAAAAGGUACUCCGGGGAUAACAGGCUGAUACCGCCCAAGAGUUCAUAUCGACGGCGGUGUUUGGCACCUCGAUGUCGGCUCAUCACAUCCUGGGGCUGAAGUAGGUCCCAAGGGUAUGGCUGUUCGCCAUUUAAAGUGGUACGCGAGCUGGGUUUAGAACGUCGUGAGACAGUUCGGUCCCUAUCUGCCGUGGGCGCUGGAGAACUGAGGGGGGCUGCUCCUAGUACGAGAGGACCGGAGUGGACGCAUCACUGGUGUUCGGGUUGUCAUGCCAAUGGCACUGCCCGGUAGCUAAAUGCGGAAGAGAUAAGUGCUGAAAGCAUCUAAGCACGAAACUUGCCCCGAGAUGAGUUCUCCCUGAGACUUUAGGUCUCCUGAAGGAACGUUGAAGACGACGACGUUGAUAGGCCGGGUGUGUAAGCGCAGCGAUGCGUUGAGCUAACCGGUACUAAUGAACCGUGAGGCUUAACCUU
rnacentral:rRNA from 1 species